rnacentral:rRNA from 1 species
GGUUGCGAUCAUACCAGCACUAAUGCACUGGAUCCCAUCAGAACUCCGCAGUUAAGCGUGCUUGGGCGAGAGUAGUACUAGGAUGGGUGACCCCCUGGGAAGUCCUCGUGUUGCAACCC